rnacentral:rRNA from 1 species
UACGGGGGGGGCAAGCGUUGUUCGGAAUUACUGGGCGUAAAGGGCUCGUAGGCGGCCAACUAAGUCGGAUGUGAAAUCCCCAAGCUUAACUUGGGAACUGCAUCCGAUACUGGAUGGCUUGAAUCCGGGAGAGGGAUGCAGAAUUCCAGGUGUAGCGGUGAAAUGCGCAGAUAUCAGGAGGAACACCGGUGGCGAAGGCGGGUCUCUGGGCCGAUACUGACGCUGAGGAGCGAAAGCGUGGGGAGCGAACAGG